rnacentral:rRNA from 1 species
GACGUAGGGGGCUAGCGUUGUCCGGAAUCAUUGGGCGUAAAGAGCGUGUAGGCGGCUCGGUAAGUCCGCUGUGAAAAGUCCAGGGCUCAACCCUGGAAUGCCAGUGGAAACUGUCGAGCUAGAGUCCGGAAGAGGCGAGUGGAAUUCCUGGUGUAGCGGUGAAAUGCGCAGAGUAUCAGGAGGAACACCAAUGGCGAAGGCAGCUCGCUGGGACGGUACUGACGCUGAGACGCGAAAGCGUGGGGAGAAACAGG